rnacentral:lncRNA from 1 species
UUUGAGUUUGUCAGGCCGAACCCAGGCAACAAGAAUUAUACCGGGUUAGGAGCACAACAUAAGCUCUUUUGUGUUGCCGUGGAAUCUGCUGCCUGCAGGUGAAUCCCCCCCCUUUCUACAGGUUUUCAGUCUUCUACACUCAGAUGGUGAUAUUAAUCCAACGACAGGUCUGUUUGGUUUCUUCUCGUGGGAUUGAGGAGUAGCAGUUGCCAAAUCCAAACUAAAUAGAAGCCUUCUAAACCGUAGAAAUCCUCGAGUUACCUGAGCAUGUCUCCGGUGUUCAAACAAGGGCCACUGAGAGCAGG